rnacentral:rRNA from 1 species
AUUGAACGCUGGCGGCAGGCUUAACACAUGCAAGUCGAGCGGGGUGAUGGUGCUUGCACUAUCACUUAGCGGCGGACGGGUGAGUAAUGCUUAGGAAUCUGCCUAUUAGUGGGGGACAACAUCUCGAAAGGGAUGCUAAUACCGCAUACGUCCUACGGGAGAAAGCAGGGGAUCACUUGUGACCUUGCGCUAAUAGAUGAGCCUAAGUCGGAUUAGCUAGUUGGUGGGGUAAAGGCCUACCAAGGCGACGAUCUGUAGCGGGUCUGAGAAGAUGAUCCGCCACACUGGGACUGAGACACGGCCCAGACUCCAACGGGAGGCAGCAGUGGGGAAUAUUGGACAAUGGGGGGAACCCUGAUCCAGCCAUGCCGCGUGUGUGAAGAAGGCCUUAUGGUUGUAAAGCACUUUAAGCGAGGAGGAGGCUCUUUUGGUUAAUACCCAAGAUGAGUGGACGUUACUCGCAGAAUAAGCACCGGCUAACUCUGUGCCAGCAGCCGCCGUAA